rnacentral:rRNA from 1 species
CGGGUGAGUAACACGUAAGUAACCUACCCUGAAGUAGGGAAUAACUCUGAGAAAUCGGAGCUAAUACCGUAUGUGAUGGCAGGGAUGAUGCUCUGUCAGAAAAGCCUUCGGGCGCUUCAGGACGGGCUUGCGUCCUAUCAGGUAGUUGGUGGGGUAAGAGCUUACCAAGCCUAUGACGGGUAGCUGGUCUGAGAGGAUGGCCAGCCACAUUGGGACUGAGACACGGCCCAG